UAAAAAACUCAUUCCGCGUCCGCCUCUCUCACUCAAAACAGUCAGACUAUACUCCUCUCUCUCUCUCUCUCUCUCAGUCUCAGAUCGCGAUUCGACCUCAGCCCCGACCCCGAGUCUCGACCUCUCCCUCUCUCUGUGACCUCUGUCUUGAUCACGCUUCGACCUCAGUCCCCAGUCUCGGCGUGAACGACCUCUCUCUCUGACCUCUGUCACAAUUGCAUAACGUCGGUGGUCGUCGUCUCUCUCAAUACUUCGCCGGAAGUCGAAGCUCUCUCCGCAAAACCCCAUCGAUCUGGGCUUUUUGACAUCUGUGGAUCGGAGCACCAUGAGCUCAAGGCCAAGGAUGAGAAUACCCUCCUCGUCGGUUAGCCAGUCGCCGUCUUUGGGCUCAGAAACUGGAGGUGAUCCCAUGGUGUCGGCUGGUGUUGAUAUUGUCCGCAGAUCUGUGCAACCCCUUUCAAGGUCCGAUCUCUGUUUCAUGCUUGAUUCGAUCUUAAAUAACUCUGACAAUUAAACCCCUUCUCAUAUUGUUAUGGAUAAUUUAAACCCCAAUCAAUAACCCACAAAACCAGCUCAUCUGAUUGUUUUCUUCAACCUGAAAGAUUUCGUGUUUUGGACUUUUGAUUUUGAUAAAACAAGAAGGAAACAAAGAUUAAAUCUUUAUGUUUUAAUUGCAACUUAGAGAUCGAAUAGAGGGUAAAAGAUCUGAAAGAGUUUGUUUCUGAACUUGUUUAAUAAUAUUAUAGAUCCUCUAUUCGUGUUUGUGUGUUUGUUUUGAAUUUAUGUUUAUGAUGGAUGGUGGAUGUACGUGUAUAUAGAGAUGAGAGACAGAGUGUUGAUUGCAGUAUGUCUUCGUAUAUGCAUGAAUUUGAAUGGCUGAGCUUUUUUAGGUUGAUAUAGCUAAUACAAGGUUUAAUUCUAUCUUCAGUAUGGCUGAGCUUUGAUUGCAUCAGUAUGACUUGGUUUUUGUUAUGUCCUUGUGAUUUCAUUUCGGUGACGGCGCUGGGUUUGGGCGAUAGGGUUUAUGCCAAGAUUUCUAGGGUGGAGAUGGAUGAGCGUCCACAGAGAUUGGAUGGAAUAGGACAAUCUCAAUCUGCAGGUCUCAUUUUGUAACAUAUUGAUGUUCUACUGCAAAGACGGGAGCAAAAGGCACUUACAAGGGCUUGUGCAAAUUACAGUUUUGGACCAUUGAGUGGUUUGUUUAUCUAUGAGUGGUUUGUCUAUCUAUGAACUACUGGGAUCACAUCCUUUCUGCUUAUCCAUUGCCUGUGUUGAAAACUAUAGGGUUUGUGGAUAUGAAGCAAGCUAAUCCUUAAGGCGAUAUUCUGAUAUGGGAACUUCCCAAAUGAGAGCAAAUGUCCAAUGGCCUUGAUAAGGCUCCAACGGCCUUGUUUUUUAAUGUUAAUGAUUUGCUCUUUUAAUUUUUUUUAUUGAUAAGGCUCCAACGGCCUUGAUUCCCAGUUUUCAAAGUAAUUUGUUAAAAGAAGAUGGACAUGAUUCAGGACUCAA